UGGGGAAUAUUGCACAAUGGACGAAAGUCUGAUGCAGCAACGCCGCGUGGAGGAUGACACAUUUCGGUGCGUAAACUCCUUUUAUAUAGGAAGAUAAUGACGGUACUAUAUGAAUAAGCACCGGCUAACUCCGUGCCAGCAGCCGCGGUAAUACGGAGGGUGCAAGCGUUACUCGGAAGCACUGGGCGUAAAGAGCGUGUAGGCGGAUAUAUAAGUCAGAAGUGAAAUCCAAUAGCUUAACUAUUGAACUGCUGUUGAAACUGUAUAUCUAGAAUGUGGUAGAGGUAGAUGGAAUUUCUGGUGUAGGGGUAAAAUCCGUAGAGAUCAGAAGGAAUACCGAGUGCGAAGGCGAUCUACUGGAACAUUAUUGACGCUGAGACACGAAAGCGUGGGGAGCAAACA
rnacentral:rRNA from 1 species